CGGAUGCAUCCGUAUGCCAACUCCACCAUAUAUAUAUAUAUAUAUAUGGGAUUAUGAAUUAAGAGUUAAAGGAUGAACACAUGUCACAAAAAUAAAAAGGUACCUUAUCCUUAGAGAUGAUAUAAGGUAGGUGACCUAAAAAAAAUAGAGAGAUUCACGUUGGAGAGACGGAUGUAAUCUUUACAUCAUGUAUAAUUCAAGUAGGUAAAAAUACGGAUUUUAGGCUAUAGAUUAGAGAUUUAGAAGGUGAGAGAUAGAAAGUAGAAGAAGAUUCACGUGAGACUCUCUCUCUACAAUUAAAUGUGAAAAUUGAUAUGGUAAGCAUCUCUCUUGAUUUUGUUCUCUCUCUAUUUAGCAUAUGGAUAUACAAAAUACAUUAAUAUUUAGAUGAUGAUCAAGUUUAUAUUAUUUAAGUAUGUGCUGCACAUCUCUCUCUUAGGGUCGCACACAACUCUCACUCUCUCUCUCUCUCUUAGGAUCCGCACACAACUCUCUAUCAAUAUAUGUAGGGAGAUUCACGUUGGAGAGAGGGAUGUAAUCUUUUAUGUAAGGUAUAAUUCAAAUAGGAAAAAAUAGGGAUUUUAGGAUAUAGAUUAGAGAUUUUAGGAGGUGAGAGAUAGAAAGUGGAAGAUGAGAAAAUUUACUUAAGAUGGAGAUGUUACGUCAUGUACAAUUCAAAUUACACAAGAGUAGGGAUUUUAGGUUAUAA
rnacentral:lncRNA from 1 species